rnacentral:rRNA from 1 species
GACGAACGCUGGCGGCGUGCCUAAUACAUGCAAGUAGAACGCUGAAGGAGGAGCUUGCUUCUCUGGAUGAGUUGCGAACGGGUGAGUAACGCGUAGGUAACCUGCCUGGUAGCGGGGGAUAACUAUUGGAAACGAUAGCUAAUACCGCAUAAUAGUAGAUGUCGCAUGACAUUUGCUUAAAAGGUGCAAUUGCAUCACUACCAGAUGGACCUGCGUUGUAUUAGCUAGUUGGUGAGGUAACGGCUCACCAAGGCAACGAUACAUAGCCGACCUGAGAGGGGGAGCGGCCACACUGGGACUGAGACACGGCCCAGACUCCUACGGGAGGCAGCAGUAGGGAAUCUUCGGCAAUGGACGGAAGUCUGACCGAGCAACGCCGCGUGAGUGAAGAAGGUUUUCGGAUCGUAAAGCUCUGUUGUAAGAGAAGAACGAGUGUGAGAGUGGAAAGUUCACACUGUGACGGUAGCUUACCAGAAAGGGACGGCUAACUACGUG